rnacentral:misc_RNA from 1 species
GAUGAAGAACGCAGCGAAAUGCGAUAAUUAAUGUGAAUUGCAGAAUUCAGUGAAUCAUCGAAUCUUUGAACGCACAUUGCGCCCCUUGGUAUUCCGAGGGGCAUGCCUGUUCGAGCGUCAUUAUAACCCCUCAAGCUCAGCUUGGUGUUGGGGCCUGCUGCACUGGCAGCCCUUAAAAUCAGUGGCGGCGCCAUCUGGCUCUGAGCGUAGUAAUUCUUCUCGCUAUGGAGUCCUGGUGGAUGCUUGCCAUCAACCCCCAAUUUUUCUAUGGUUGACCUCGGAUCAGGUAGGGAUACCCGCUGAACUUAAGCAUAUCAAUAAGCGGAGGA